AGUGAACGCUGGCGGCAGGCCUAACACAUGCAAGUCGAACGGAAGCACAGUACUUGCUUGUGGAUUCGGGUGCCGAGUGGCGGACAGUGCCUGGAUAUCUCCGUAUCUACUGGUGAUAAGGGGCUAACACAGGCGAUAAUACCCUAAUAGUGCAUAGGACGUAAGGGGGGAAGCUUGGGAUCUUCCGCUCUUGCGCGAUCGUAUGAGCGAAUGUCGGAUUAGCUAGUUGGUGGGGUAAAGGCCUACCAAGGCGACGAUCCGUAGCUGGUCUGAGAGGAUGAUCAGUCACACUGGAACUGAGACACGGUCCAGACUCCUACGGGAGGCAGCAGUGGGGAAUAUUGGACAAAGGGCGAAAGCCUGAUCCAGCCAUGCCGCGUGUGUGAAGAAGGUCUUCGGAUUGUAAAGCCCUUUAGGUUGGGAGGAAGGGCAGCAGGUUAAUACCUCGCUGUUUUGACGGUACCAAAAGAAUAAGCACCGGCUAACUUCGUG
rnacentral:rRNA from 1 species